GAGAUUAAAAAAAAAAAAAACUAAUUUAUAAUCCCCUUGUUCCAUCUUAAACAUCCUGGAAAAUGUGAUAUUUGUUGAGGCCAUAAUUAUUGUUACUUUACAUUUGAAAAAUACUGGGUGGGUUGGUUUUGGGAGAAAACAGCCCACUGCUUUAUGUUUUCUUAAAUAAGUUGUCUUCGGAAAAUGUCUACUUAGGGGCUCCUUGGUGUCUCAUUUGGUUAAGCGUCUGACUGUUGGUUUUGGCUCCGGUUCAUUAGAUCGAGCCCACAUUGGAGCCUGUUUGGGAGUCUCUCUCUACCUCUUUCUGGCCCUGCCCUGCUCUGCUCAUUCUCUCUCAAAAUUAAAAAAAAAAAAAAAAAGAUGCCUACUUAGUGUUUUGUAAAAACAUUUUCCAUUUCCUCCCCCCACCCCCAACAUAUUCUGAAGUGAUUUGUUUUCUAGGGGAAUUAUAGAGUUAUUUAAAAAAUUUUAAGCUUAAAACAAUGUUAAAAUUAAAAAAUUAAGCUUAGUGAUCCCAAUAUGAAGUCUUAUUACUAGUUUCAGCCCUAUUGAACAAAUACAUUAAAAUAGUUGAUUGUUGGGGCAUCUGGGUGGCUCAGUCGGUUAAGAGUCCCAGUUAGGCUCAGGUCAUGAUCUUGUGGUAGGUCAGUUCAAGCCCCAUGUUGGGCUCUGUGCUGACAGCUCAGAGCCUGGAGCCUGCUUCAGAUUCUGUGUCUCCCUCUCUCUCUGCCUCUUCCCCACUCAUGCUGUCUCUCUCUCUCAAAAAUAGACAUUAAAAAAUUUUUUUUAAAAAAUAGUUGAUUGUUGAAAUAUAAACCUCCUUGGGACCCUGGAAGAGAUCUAGAAAGAUUUUCUUCUGGAUUGGGUUAUCGUAGAAAUGUGAGUGUUCCCUGGAAAUGAUGAUAAUAGUGGAUAUUGUAUUCUUCUACACAGUUGUAUUUAUUGUUACUUGUGAAAUGUUUAUAUUAUAUUUAGUUAUUUAAUAUACAUUGUGUAAUAACUAUUCUUUUACUUAUUGCAUUAACAGUUGUUGGUAGUUUUGGUCUCUACUUCUUUUGAUCAGCUGUGUAGGGAGGGGCUCUGUGAGUAAGAGUUUAUACCCAAGUGACUAUUAUAAUGCAAAAGAAGCUUGCCUGGUUCCUUGUUGGUAUUGUAUGAACCUGGUUAAGUUGGGCAGACCUAGAAGUUCUGACUAAGGGGCAGGAAAGUGAGGAUCAAUGUAAACAGCAAAAGAGCUUUACAUAAAAUUGAGAAGGAGGCUUGACAUCGAAAUUUGAGACUCUAUGUGAUGUUAUUAAAGUACUAAUUUCUUUUUUUAAUUAAAAAUUUUUAUUGAGAUAUAAUUAACAUUAUUUUCAGGUAUACAACAUAUGAUAUUUUUCAUUAUUUUCAGGUAUACAGCAUAAUAUGAUAUUUUUAUGUAUUGUGAAAUGAUCACCACAAUAUGGUGAUAUCCAUCACCGUACAUAGUUACAAUUUUUUUCUUUUGAUGAACUUUUAAUAUUUACUCUCUUAGCAACUUUCAAAUAUAUGACAGUAUUAUUGUAGUCAUCAUGCUGUACAUUACAUCCUUAUGGCUUACUUAUUUUAUAACUGGAAGUUUAUACCUUUUGACUACCUUUACCCAUUUCCUCUGCCUCCACUCUCUGCCUCUGGCAACCACCACUCUGUUCUGGUUUUUAUUUUGUUUUUUUUAGAUUCCACUUUUUCUUCAAUUGAGGAUGAAGUAAUUUUUUUUAAUUUUAUUUAUUUUGAGAGAGAGUGUGCACACAGGUGCAUGCGGUGGGAGGGGCAGAGAGAGAGGGAGAGACAGAGUCCCAGGGCUCCAUGCAGGGCUUGAUCUCACAAAUUGAGAUCUUGACCUGAGCUGAAACCAACAGUCGGAUGUUCAACCCACUGAGCCACCCAGGUGCUCUGAAAACAAAGUAAUUCUUAAAAAUUGUGUAAAGAAUAGUGAAAUCUACUCUUUUUGUACAUGAACCAAACAACAUAGAAGCACAUAGAACAAAAACUGUUUCCUUCAUUCUCUUCCUUGUCUAUUCCUUGUCAUUGUUCUAGCUCUUUUCUGUUUUUUUUUCUUUUACUGUAUAUAGAAUUAUGCUAUAAGCGCCCCUCUGUGACUUUGUUUUAAAAGAUUGGUGAUAUGGUUUGGAGAUCUUUCCAUUUACAUAGAGAUCUUUAUCACAUUUUUAAUGGCUCUAUAAAGUUUCAUAGUAUAUGUAUACCAUAACUUAAUUAACUGUCCUCCUCUUAGUGUACCCUUAGGUUGCUUCCAAUUUUUUACUAUUAAUAUUGUGUUGCAGCUCCUGGGUGGCUCAGGUGGUUAAGCUUAUGACUUUUGAUUUUGGCUCAGGUCUCACAGAUCUCACAGUUAAUGGGUUUGAGCCCCAUGUUGGGCUUUGCACUGACAUCGUGGAGCCUGCUUGGGACUCUCUCUCCUUCCCUCUCUUUCUGACCCUUCCCCACUUGUAUGUUCUCUCUCUCUCUC